UACGGGAGGCAGCAGUGGGGAAUAUUGCACAAUGGGCGCAAGCCUGAUGCAGCCAUGCCGCGUGUAUGAAGAAGGCCUUCGGGUUGUAAAGUACUUUCAGUCGUGAGGAAGGUGUUAAGGUUAAUAACCCUAGCAAUUGACGUUAGCGACAGAAGAAGCACCGGCUAACUCCGUGCCAGCAGCCGCGGUAAUACGGAGGGUGCGAGCGUUAAUCGGAAUUACUGGGCGUAAAGGGCACGCAGGCGGUUAAUUAAGUUGGAUGUGAAAUCCCCGGGCUUAACCUGGGAAUGGCAUUCAAGACUGGUUAGCUAGAGUCUUGUAGAGGGGGUAGAAUUCCAUGUGUAGCGGUGAAAUGCGUAGAGAUGUGGAGGAAUACCGGUGGCGAAGGCGGCCCCUGGGACAAAGGACUGACGCUCAUGUGCGAAAGCGUGGGGAGCAAAC
rnacentral:rRNA from 1 species